AAAAAGGCACAGCCGCACAGGAGAGAGGUGGCAGUGGCACGAGAGCUUACAUUCUUUUGGCCCUUCAUUGACGCGAAAACUUGUUUCUUUCAGUCAGUAGCUUGAUGCUGGAAAGAACCUACAGUGAAACACGUCCUCAGAAAGAAGCUAAAAAGGAGGCGGCGACAGAGAAAGUGCAAGCAGCAACAAUAGAUGUGCGCAUGAAUUAUGGAACUGAGAACUGACAACUUGUGCACAACAAAAACAGCCAAGGGCUCAAAGAUGACUGCUUUCGCUACCGGAAAUAAUGGCAAAUCCAGAUCACCCAGGUAACACUUAACAAACGCUGAAACACAGUACUACUCCUUCCGUCCCAUAUUACAUGACUCAACUUUAUCCAAAUAUGAAUGUAUGUAUGCCUAAAAAACGUUUAGAUACAUGUAAUAGAAAAUCACUUAAUAUUAAUAUGAAACAUAUGAAACGGAGGGAGUAUGAUCCAACAUAAACAAUAUGGCAAAAAUAACGGUUCAGCAUUGGACACCAUACCACGCAUUUGGGAUAACAAGUUCUAGUUUUCUGCUCCUAUCCGAGACAAAAGCAUGUCUGCUCUCUCCUACAGAAGCAACUUCAUAGCACUUACAGAACGGAUCUGUAUUUUUAAGCAAAGCCAUAGAAAGUACCAUAAGUGAAACUACAUAUGUUAUGAUAACAGUUAACACAGCGAGAGUAAGAACAGACAUCUAUGGCUCAACGGUAGUCACUUGCUGCCAUUCACCGUCCACAGCUUCUUUCCACAGGGUCACAUUGUUGUUGCCAUCAGAGACUGCCAGUAUGUUCCCAGUCAGCGACCACGACAGCCGCCAAACAGGGG
rnacentral:lncRNA from 1 species